CAGCCGUAAACUAUGCGCGUUAGGUGUAUCGGUGACCACGAGUCACCGAGGUGCCGAAGGGAAACCGUGAAACGUGCCGCCUGGGAAGUACGGUCGCAAGGCUGAAACUUAAAGGAAUUGGCGGGGGAGCACCAUAACGGGUGGAGCCUGCGGUUUAAUUGGACUCAACGCCGGGAAGCUCACCGGAUAAGACAGCGGAAUGAUUGCCGGCUGAAGACCCUGCAUGACUAGCUGAGAGGAGGUGCAUGGCGUAGACGUCU
rnacentral:rRNA from 1 species